rnacentral:lncRNA from 1 species
GUUGUAAUCUAUGCAAUAUAAUAUUAUCUUAACUACAACUAUUUUGUGAUGUGACCGACUGUCCCUAACGCAAAUGACAAAGAAUUUGAUAGUUAGUAUUUGAGGUCCAAAAUUCAAAUCCUAUUUGAUUCAUAUUUUCAACUAAGUUUAUUUUUAAAAGAAAUAAACGAAACGAACAACAUGCUACCUUUCUCUUUCUCAAAAAAAAAAACUAUUUUGUGAUGUGCCCGUCAAUUCUACUAUUCUGAUUGACACCUCUGUAACCUCUAGGUUUUUGAAAUAAAAAUAUUUUUACUAGGGGACCGUUUAGUUAGAUAUAUUUAGAAAUACAGAAUAGUUAUAAAUAUUGCAGUAACUUUAUGUAUUUUGAUUUUUCUCAAAAAAACUUUAUGUAUUUUGAUUGGUUUGAUGUUGUAGAAAGUAUCACAACUUUAAAUAAUAUAUUUGGUUUCAUAUAAUUAAAAAGUAUUUUAUAUACGUAGUGAUAAAUUAUUUCUAAUAUAGAAAGAAAUAAGAUUUUUCAUUUAAAAAGUGAUUAGAAAAGUAAAUUUAUCUUUAUUUAAAGUUAUUCUCUCUAACUACAGCAAUUGAGUCCUUACAGUUUUAACUAUAGUAACUGAAUUCAAAUAUAUCAAAUUAAACAGCAGAUUUGAAUCUGGAUACAAUUACAUGCAACAAAACACUGAAUCUGGAUACAAUUACAUGCAACAAAACACC